rnacentral:rRNA from 1 species
AUACGUAGGGGGCGAGCGUUGUCCGGAAUGAUUGGGCGUAAAGGGCGCGUAGGCGGCCCGGUAAGUCUGGAGUGAAAGUCCUGUGUUUAAGAUGGGAAUUGCUUUGGAUACUGUCGGGCUUGAGUGCAGUAGAGGUAGGUGGAAUUCCCAGUGUAGCGGUGAAAUGCGUAGAGAUUGGGAGGAACACCAGUGGCGAAGGCGACUUACUGGACUGUAACUGACGCUGAGGCGCGAAAGUGUGGGGAGCAAACAGGAUUAGAUACCCUGGUAGUCCACACUGUAAACGAUGAAUGCUAGGUGUAGGGGGUAUCGACCCCUUCUGUGCCGCAGUCAACACAAUAAGCAUUCCGCCUGGGGAGUACGGCCGCAAGGUUGAAACUCAAAUGAAUUGGCGGGG